UCUAACAUUUUAGGUUAUCUCGUUGUCAUUUUCAUGCUCCUCACUCUCGAUCCCUCUCUCCAUCGGUAAACUCAUCCUACUCUCGAUCCUCUCUCUUCACUUCAACCAAAACCCUAAUCCUAGAUCUCUUUCUCUUCCUCCAUCGAUGGGAUUUCUGAAUCCUAAUCUCCCCUCAUGCGAUAACAGCGAUCCUUGUGAUAUGGCGAACACCUAAUCCCCAUCCUCAUGAACCCUAAACUCCCCUCUCUGGCGACAACGGCGGCGAUCCUCAAGAGGAAGAGAAAGAAGAGGAGGCGGUGAUUAGUUCAAAUUUGGUUGAUCUCAAUUUUCCGUUGAUGAUUGAUGAGAAUUUGAGCAAAGGGAGUGUUUCUGUUGCUGGUGCUGAUUUUAGAUCUUCGCUGUUUGGAAGUAAUCUUCAGCAUGAGGCAGUGGCUGCUUUGAUUAACAAUUGGAGUUGUUCAGAUUCCUCUUCUGUGAUUGACUUUUCAUUCUUUUGGGGGCUUGAAGAUUUUUGUUGGCGCACGCCACCUAUAACCGGACACUGAUCGUGGCCAUCAAUCGGCGUUCAUUGUGGAAUUGUUGCAUGCAUAAGUGUCACCGAAACUCUUAACUAGAGCUCCUGCUUCUCAUAGACUAAUCAAUCGUCCAGCGAGCUUCUUAGUGAAGAAGUUUUUGAUUUCUCAAGAGGGGAGAUGACUCAGCAGAAAAUCAAAGAACUGAAACAAUGAUUAAACAGGCAAGAAAAUUUCAUUUUUUUAGGUUAUACACCCAUCAGUUUAGGAUGCUGGAAUAAACAUGUACCACAUACUUUCUUAAAUGCAGCUGUAUAGAUAUAGUCUGUAUGCAUUUUUUUUUAAGGAAGAUGCAGAAAGACGUUGACAUGGUUUUGUAUACAAGUACAAGGAUGAUACAUAUACUGCAGAAUAGGAAUUUAAAAUUCCAUAUAGAUUAUUACAAAAAGAAAAGCUGGCAUCAUCUGUGUUAAACUGUUCGUGAGACUGAAUCACAACUUAAUGUAUUACUAUAGUCCUCUGUAUGUUCAAUCUUAAUUUCAAAUUU